UACGGAGGGGGUUAGCGUUGUUCGGAAUUACUGGGCGUAAAGCGCACGUAGGCGGAUUAGAAAGUUAGAGGUGAAAUCCCAGGGCUCAACCUGGAACUGCCUUUAAAACUCCUAGUCUUGAGUUCGAGAGAGGUGAGUGGAAUUCCAAGUGUAGAGGUGAAAUUCGUAGAUAUUUGGAGGAACACCAGUGGCGAAGGCGGCUCACUGGCUCGAUACUGACGCUGAGGUGCGAAAGUGU
rnacentral:rRNA from 1 species